GGCUGAUCGGGGGGGGGAGGGGAGGCAGGCCCUGUCUCUCCUCNGACGCCUCCCCAGCCUGAGGACCCUUACCAGGGUCUGCAAGGGGCACCCUCCUGGCACACGAGCUGUCCUGAGGGCAGCAGGACCAUGGCAUCCGCUUAUAACUCGGCACCCCACCCCUCAAGCCGUAACUCCUCCAGGCCUCACCAAUGUCUCUUCGCCCAGCCCUGGUGCAGGCCCUGCGGGACGAUGACCGGGAGCAGGCCGGAGCCCUGGGGCCGCGGAUCCAGCUGGUGACGGAGCAGUGCAGGCAACGCAUCGAGCGCUGGCCCGAGGUGCAGGCUGCCAUCGACGCCUGGUGGGAGCAUAUGGGGCAGUUUGUCCUGCCUGCGGAGCAUUGCCUGGGCUGGAGCACUGGACCCUGGCCCUCAAGACCCUCCUGCAGCAGCAGCAGCACAGCUGGGCCUGAUGGCCCCAUCCUGCCUGGGAGGGGCGCAGAUGAGCUGCUUUGAUAACAUCGUAGCUAAGUGGCAGUCACUGCCCCGAAGUGACUCCAAUGCAGUCCCUCAAAGCACAGACUCUCCACACGGGAUUCUGCUCACGCAGAGAAUUCUCUCCAUCCGCUCGGUUGCUUCGGUUCAGCUGGCUGGUCUCUGGCCUGGUCCACACUA
rnacentral:lncRNA from 1 species